CAUCUAAAAUCACAUGAAUUUCAAGUUUAGAGACAACAUGGGUUUACCUCAGGGGAGGUCAUGCCAAACUAAUCUUAUUGAUUUUUUUUUUGAUUGGGUAACUAAAAUAAUAGAUCAGGGUCAGGGCCGGAUUAACAUAGGGACUGAUGGAGCUCUUAGGGUUGCCACCUGGCCGGUAUUUAUUUGAGGCUGCCUGGCUGGUGUCGAUAUUGCAGUAAUACCAGCAAUACAAAUAUAAUAUAUAAACAGAUUACUUUGCAAUACCAGCACCAGCCAAUAGGGGUUGCUGUGUGUGUGGAGAGAGGCAGGGAUAGGAAGUUACAGCAUACCUGCAUCUCUCUACUCACUGAUCCAUGGAGCUACACAGGACAGAGAGUCCAGACAGCAGCUCCCAGCCUACAGCUUAGGGAGGUGAGGUAUGGGGUAAAGGCUGCAGGGAGACAUGGGGACACAGGGAGACCUCUGGGGAUGUUGAGAAACAUGGGGACACGGGGAAACAGACACACAUGAGGACACUAGGGAAAAUAUAAUGUAGCCACGAGCCAUGUGAGUCGUCUGAGUCUCAUAAUGGUGAGAGAUGGGGAUCUGCCCUUAUUUAUUAUGUCACAAGCUGCCUUAUUGUCUGCGAAGCACUUAACUGAUUUACCCUCCCACUGAUGCCUCAAUUCCUUUGUGGCGGCCACUAUGGGGUAGGCUUCAAACAAAGCUGAGGUUGUGUGAAAUGAGGGUAGGCAAAGUGUCUCAACUUGCCAUGCAUCUCUGAAUCAGAAGUUGCCAAAGAUAGCAGCAAAGCCUGAGUGGGCGGCAGCAUCGGUCCAGCUUACAGGUGAAUGUUCUGAGAUUGGGGAAAUAAACAUUGCCCUUCCAUUUCAAUGGGAUAGAAACUCGAGCCACAUGUUAAGAUCGGCUUUGGCGUGUAAGUCCAGCGUCAUAGUACUGUUGUCGAUGGGCAGAAGGGGAACAAGGCAUAGUAGUCGUGAAAUAAAAGCACGGCCUUGUGGAAUGAUUGAAAAGUUCAAUGUACCCAGCAAGGACUGAAGAUCAGACCUGGUACACUUAUUCUUAGCAAGAAAAGAUUCCACAGACUCCCUAAUAUGUUGUACCUUUUUUUUGGUGGCAAACUAGACUGUAACUUGACCGUGUCUAGUUGAAUCCCCAGGAAUAUUGCCAGAUUAGUGGAAGGCCCUACUGUCUUGUCCUGUGAGAGUGGAACCCCUUUGGAUGAGAAAAGUAUCAACAUUUUGUGACUACUAAUAGGUGUGGAAUGUGGGUCUUCGAUCGUUAGAAAGUCAUCUAAGUUGUGAAUUACUGAUGGACAUUCGCAAACAUUGAAGUGGAGCCAACCUAGAGUGUCACCAAAUAUGUCUAAUAGUUUGGGGCUGCUUUUUGCUCCAAAUAUCAAACGUGUGGCAAAGUAAUCUCUACACUUUAUACUGUGCACAUGCCACAGUGACGGGUGUAUAGGUAAAAGCUUGAACGCAUUGGGAAUGUCAGUCUCUUCCAACCAAGCCCCUAAAGGGAUUAACAGUGGGUAGUGAAGUUGGCUCACAGGGACUGGAGGGAAAUUUAUUAAUUGCAUUACAGGGAGGGAGGGAGAGGAGCACAUAUAAGGUGGCUUGGAACAGAG
rnacentral:lncRNA from 1 species